UGAAGUUCAUUUAUACGAAAUGCUUUGCGAUAAAAGCAUGCCAUAAAUACGUUGGUGUGUUAUUGCGGAUCGCAAGUUGUUGGGCAAGUGGACGGAUACCGAAACAGUCAGCAGUUUGCAUUUGAUGCGAUGAGAAUAAAAAAUAUAAUAGGCUUUUGCCUUAUUUUCGUGAUUGCUGGGGUAGUUGGAGGUACAAUCAGCGAGACCUCAACCCCAUCAAAUGGAGGUUCGCCAUCAACUUCGCCGCUUACAGCGAGAACCCCGCAUGUAGGGGGCAAUAGAACCGGACCUGUUACGUUCCCAACCGCUGCCCCACCUCUUCAGAACGGCACGAUAGCAGAAAUACUUUAAUAUGUACCGAACCCGACCAUUGGAAAAGAAUAAAAUGUAAUCAAUAGAUUCCCGGUGUAUAGUGCCAACAUAACACCGUACCCCUAACAGAAAUUGUGUUAAAUUAGCUUCAGCUAGAGUAAGCAUAGAGCCAGUAAAAUGUUUUCAAGAUUUUAAAGUCAAACGGAAACCUAUUUAGAAUUCAUAGGUCGUUAAAACGCUUCAGCAGAGCUUCCAGUUGAAAUCAUCGUAACUUGGCAGAAAAUGGACAAGUGGUGCUAAUGGGUAAAUAAUAAAACUAACACAUAUUUGCCAAUAGAGCACUUGGAUUAUUACUUCUCUCUGUGAAAGUAAAGACUUCAGAAAAAUAA